rnacentral:lncRNA from 1 species
UAAAAAAAAAAACAUAAAAACAAGAGGCUGUCACAACGACAGCAAACCGGAUUUAUUAACAUUUAUUUGUGUCCUGGCAAUAUCACAAGAACCAUUACUGAUGAAUGGUGAAAGUGAAAAUCGUCAAUAUCAGAUUUGACCUCCAUUUUGUCAUCAGUAUCAACAUAUAAAAAUUUGAAAAGCUUAGAUUGAAUGGUUCAUGAGUAAAUGCAACAACCUGAAUGGAAACGCCAUUUUACGAUCUUUCAAGAACC